CCCACAACUGGAAAACAAGAAAGAAAAUGAACAUCUCACUGCAUACAUGUGGCACAGACACACAAAAACUCAACUUCUGGAGGAAAAGACAAAAGGCCCUGGUCUUGCUUGGCUUUCUGGAUGUUCUCAACCUUGACAUGACUCCUUAUUCUCCAAUUCAUUUGGACCUCAAGACACUACUACUCUGGCUACAGCCGGCAUUAAAAAGAUGACACAGAAAAAUUACAGAGUCAGCAUAUAUUUGAAUACUGGAUAAAAGGGAAGAGGAUGAAAUGGAUUUUUCAAAGCUUCUAAAGAAAACAGAACUAGGUAAUACAUGAUGUUGGACUUAGUCUAAUGAUUUGGACAUUUAAUGAGACAUGAAUAAAAAUGGAAUAAAGUGG
rnacentral:lncRNA from 1 species